rnacentral:rRNA from 1 species
UACGGAGGGAGCUAGCGUUGUUCGGAAUUACUGGGCGUAAAGCGCACGUAGGCGGCUUUUUAAGUCAGGGGUGAAAUCCCGGGGCUCAACCCCGGAACUGCCCUUGAAACUGGAGAGCUAGAAUCUUGGAGAGGCGAGUGGAAUUCCGAGUGAUAGAGGUGAAAUUCGUAGAUAUUCGGAAGAACACCAGUGGCGAAGGCGACUCGCUGGACAAGUAUUGACGCU